rnacentral:misc_RNA from 1 species
GAAAUGCGAUAAGUAGUGUGAAUUGCAGAAUUCAGUGAAUCAUCGAAUCUUUGAACGCACAUUGCGCCCCUUGGUAUUCCAUGGGGCAUGCCUGUUCGAGCGUCAUUUGUACCCUCAAGCUCUGCUUGGUGUUGGUUGUUUGUCCCCGUCUCCGCGCGUGGACUCGCCCCAAAGUGAUUGGCAGCCGGCGUACUGGUCCCGGAGCGCAGCACAUGUCGCGCAAACGAGUGCCUUGGUACGGCGGCGUCCAUAAGCCCCUCUCUCACGCUCUUGACCUCGGAUCAGGUAGGGAUACCCGCUGAACUUAAGC